rnacentral:rRNA from 1 species
AGUGAACGCUGGCGGUAGGCCUAACACAUGCAAGUCGAACGGCAGCACAGUAAGAGCUUGCUCUUACGGGUGGCGAGUGGCGGACGGGUGAGGAAUACAUCGGAAUCUACUUUUUCGCGGGGGAUAACGUAGGGAAACUUACGCUAAUACCGCAUACGACCUACGGGUGAAAGCAGGGGAUCUUCGGACCUUGCGCGAUUGAAUGAGCCGAUGUCGGAUUAGCUAGUUGGCGGGGUAAAGGCCCACCAAGGCGACGAUCCGUAGCUGGUCUGAGAGGAUGAUCAGCCACACUGGAACUGAGACACGGUCCAGACUCCUACGGGAGGCAGCAGUGGGGAAUAUUGGACAAUGGGCGCAAGCCUGAUCCAGCCAUACCGCGUGGGUGAAGAAGGCCUUCGGGUUGUAAAGCCCUUUUGUUGGGAAAGAAAAGCAGCAGGCUAAUACCCCGCUGUUCUGACGGUACCCAAAGAAUAAGCACCGGCUAACUUCGUG